UUAUUCAGAAGAUGCAGCUGCGGUAGGUUAACGUUAACGACAAACAACUGACACAGAGAACGGGACCGAUGGUCGGCCAGCCCCGGUUAUUCUUGAGUCUAUAAGCUUCUGGAGCCGCCAGGCGCCUAUCAGAACGGAGCGGACUCCUCUUAAAGAGACAGGAGCUAAAACAGCCUUAACGGCAGGGCGGAGGAUAACUUUGCUGCCUUGGCCGGCGGCUCUGAGCCUCCACUGAGUGAACAGUCCAGGUGUACCCGUUCUGUCUGUGCCCACCAUGAUGGACACAUGCACCCCCCUCCCCUCCUGCUCCACCUUGCCCAGUGCCAUCUUUGGGAGGUGGAUAUAAAUAUCUGUGAACGGACGUUGCCUGUCGUGUGCUGCUGUAAAAGCUCGGAGCAACCUUCAAGGCAGGUUGUCGAUUUCUUCUCCAAUCACAUCAGGAAAAGGAGCGGGGGGGAUUCAUUGUGACUGAUUGAUAUUGUCAUGUAAAGUAGUUCAUAAUUUAAUUUCCCACUUAGCUGUUUUAUUUUUUGAACUCUGCACCUUUAAUUUGAGAGAUUAUCUUUAUUUCUGUGCAUUUUUAUGUUCCUGACAUUAUUAUUAUAGCCACCAGAGGGCAGUAAACCCCUUUCUGCUGCAAAAUAUUAAGGAUUUGUAGCCUCUAGUCUUUUCCCAAUAAGUAAGCAACUAAAACAUAAAUUGUGCAGUAGCUGAUUGAGGUCAAAGGUCACUGAAUUGUGGGAUUACGCCUGCAACAGGAGCG